UACAGAGGGCGCGAGCGUUGUCCGGAAUCACUGGGCGUAAAGGGCUCGUAGGUGGCCAACUAAGUCAGACGUGAAAUCCCUCGGCUUAACCGGGGAACUGCGUCUGAUACUGGAUGGCUUGAGGUUGGGAGAGGGAUGCGGAAUUCCAGGUGUAGCGGUGAAAUGCGUAGAUAUCUGGAGGAACACCGGUGGCGAAGGCAGCCCCCUGGGUCAACACUGACGCUCAUGCACGAAAGCGUGGGGAGCAAACAGG
rnacentral:rRNA from 1 species